AUGGUGAUCUUCACAUGUUCCAUGAUGGGCACAAACAUCGCCUGAACAGUUUGUUUCCAUUUGUUUCAGAGAUGUUUACAAAUGCUCAUUAAAACAUUUUUAAGACAUCUUCUUUAAAAUACUUAUCAGAUUAUUCCAACAUCUGUGUUGUCUCAGUAGUGUCAUCUGUUGAUUUCCUUCUCUCAUUCCAGUUGAGAGUUUCCUGGCUCUUGGUAUGAUGGGUGGUUUUUUAUCCUAUUCUGAACAUUUGGGGUGUUACAUUAUGAGGCUCUAGAUCUUAUGUAAAUUUUUUGUUUUAGCUGGCCUGUGCUGAAACUGGACUGGUGGUGGAAGCCGGGCACUAACUCUUUAUCACUGGAAGGAAGUGGAAGUCCAGACUCCCCAGCAGCCUCCAUUGGUACCACCAUGGCAGGGAGCGGGGAGCUAUUCAUUACCAGCAGAUGAGGGUUAGAAGUUCAUGCUCCCUGGAUAGUCUCCACUAAACUGAAGGAAGGCAUUCAAGGAAGGGCAGCUCAUCGCCACAGGGCGGAGGUAGAAAUCCAGGCUGCCUACUUGACUUCCUGGGAGACCACCUCAGCAUGGAUGGAAAAGAGCACCUCAUCACCUCCAGGUAUUAUGGGAGAUAGGCUGGGACAGAGAAGGAAAGCCAGGAAGAAGAGACAGCAUGAGCAAAAGCAUGAAGAUCAGAAUUCAAAGAGGAUGCUGCUAAGAAACUACAGACAGAGUCUUGCUAUGUUGCCCAGUCUGGU
ensembl:lncRNA novel transcript